UGCUGCAGUCCUCUCCACUACAAAAUUGGUGCCCACCAGCUGUUCGACUGAAUGCUUGAGCAGUGUUCUGACCUCCGUCACCGCGUCGCCGAGCUGGAUUCCUGUUGCAGCAACCAACUUCACUAGUACAGCUGCCCACCUCAUAACCAUGCCUCCAAACGGCCUUCCAGCUGCAGCAUCCGCGACCACGGUUGCCCUCACCACC
rnacentral:lncRNA from 1 species